AAGGUGAAACUCAAAGGAAUUGACGGGGCCCGCACAAGCGGAGGAACAUGUGGUUUAAUUCGAUGAUACGCGAGGAACCUUACCCGGGCUCGAACGGCAAGUGAAGAGAUCCAGAGAUGGUGACGCCUUCGGGGCACUUGUCGAGGUGCUGCAUGGUGUCGUCAGCUCGUGUCGUGAGAUGUUGGCUCAAGUGCCAUAACGAGCGCAACCCUUGUCGUUAGUUACCAUCAGGUCAAGCUGGGGACUCUAACGAGACUGCCACCGCAAGGUGUGAGGAAGGCGGGGAUGACGUCAAAUCAGCACGGCCCUUACGUCCGGGGCGACACACGUGUUACAAUGGCGGUCACAGAGGGAAGCCACCCAGUGAUGGGGAGCAGAUCUCGAAAAGCCGUCUCAGUUCGGAUCGGAGUCUGCAACUCGACUCCGUGAAGCUGGAUUCGCUAGUAAUCGCGCAUCAGCCAUGGCGCGGUGAAUACGUUCCCGGGCCUUGUACACACCGCCCGUCAAGCCAUGAAAGCCGGGGGUGCUUGAAGUUCGUGACCGCAAGGAGCGACCUAGGGCAAAACUGGUAAUUGGGGCUAAGUCGUAACAAGGUAACCUAAC
rnacentral:rRNA from 1 species